rnacentral:RNase_P_RNA from 1 species
GAACUAAUCCGGACGGUUGCGCCAUAGAAUGUCGAAAGGUACUAUGGUGAGGAAAGUCCGUGCUUCGCAGGGCAGGAUAACUGAUAACGUCAGCCGAGGGUGACCUUAGGGAAAGUGCAACAGAAAAUUACCGCCGAGAAAUCGGUAAGGAUGAAAACGCGAGGUAAGAGCUCACGACACGCUAUGGUAACAUAGGGUGGGUGUAAACCCUAUCCGAAGCAACACCGCAUAAGAGAAUUUUUAUUUGCCCGAUAAAGCUAUGCUAUUCUCUUGGGUGGCACGCAAUUUUGCGGAGCUAUAUGGUGACAUAUAGCAAAGAUAGAUGACCGUCUUUUAACAGAACACGGCUUACAGGAUUAGUUCAUAA